rnacentral:lncRNA from 1 species
UGAGAGCCAUGUGAUAUGCCAACUCAAUUAAUGAGCCAUCAUCCAACGCCUCUCCUUUUUUCUAAUUUUUAAUUUCUGAUUUCUAUUUUCUUUUAUUUCUUUUAAUUCCAUUUUAUUUCUAAAAUCACCUUUUUUCUAAUUUUUAAUUUCUGAUUUCUAUUUUCUUUUAUUUCUUUUAAUUCCAUUUUAUUUCUAAAAUCCAUAUCUCUUUCAUUAUUGGUCCAAAAAUUAUGGGACCAAUUGCAUUAUUU